GACGAACGCUGGCGGCGUGCCUAACACAUGCAAGUCGAGCGAAGUGAGUACUACGGUACGAACUUAGCGGCGGACGGGUGAGUAACGCGUGGACAAUCUACCCUGUAGACUGGGAUAACACCUCGAAAGGGGUGCUAAUACCGGAUAAUGUCGAGAAGCGGCAUCGCUUUUCGAAGAAAGGAGAGAAUCCGCUAUAGGAGGAGUCCGCGUCCCAUUAGCUAGUUGGUGAGGGUAACGGCCCACCAAGGCGACGAUGGGUAGCCGGCCUGAGAGGGUGAACGGCCACACUGGAACUGAGACACGGUCCAGACUCCUACGGGAGGCAGCAGUGGGGAAUAUUGUGCAAUGGGGGAAACCCUGACACAGCAACGCCGCGUGAGCGAAGAAGGCCUUCGGGUUGUAAAGCUCAAUAGUAUGGGAAGAUAAUGACGGUACCAUACGAAAGCCCCGGCUAACUACGUGCCAGCCGCCGCAGUAACAC
rnacentral:rRNA from 1 species